UACAGAGGGUGCAAGCGUUGCUCGGAAUCAUUGGGCGUAAAGGGCAAGUAGGUGGUCUCAUUUGUCUAGGGUGAAACCCUUGAGCUUAACUCAAGAAGUGCCCUAGAAACGGUGGGACUAGAGUUCUGGAGAGGGUCGUGGAAUUCCCGGUGUAGCGGUGAAAUGCGUAGAGAUCGGGAGGAACACCUGUGGCGAAGGCGGCCGACUGGGCCGUCCCUGACGCUGAGGCGCGAAAGCGUGGGGAGCGAACCGG
rnacentral:rRNA from 1 species